rnacentral:tRNA from 1 species
UUAAAAAGAAGCUUUUUAGAAGCAUAGAAUUUUUAAUUCUAUGAAGUGUAAAUUAUCCACCUUUUUAAAA